UACGAAGGGGGCUAGCAUUGCUCGGAAUGACUGGGCGUAAAGGGCGCGUAGGCGGAUGGCACAGUCAGAUGUGAAAUUCCUGGGCUUAACCUGGGGGCUGCAUUUGAUACGUGUGAUCUAGAGUGAGGAAGAGGGUUGUGGAAUUCCCAGUGUAGAGGUGAAAUUCGUAGAUAUUGGGAAGAACACCGGUGGCGAAGGCGGCGACCUGGUCCUUAACUGACGCUGAGGCGCGAAAGCGUGGGGAGCAAACAGG
rnacentral:rRNA from 1 species